GAUUAGUCGAUUAGGGGGGAUUCGGCACGCCUUUAUGGUGGUUUUGUUCCCCUCCACCCGCUUUCUCAAUCGACUUUAAGUGCACAUUGGGAUCCGCGAAGGCCUUAUUCGAUCAUUCAUC
ensembl:ncRNA F43D9.13 ncRNA